rnacentral:rRNA from 1 species
CCUACGGGAGGCAGCAGUGAGGAAUAUUGGUCAAUGGGCGCGAGCCUGAACCAGCCAAGUCGCGUGAGGGAGGACGGCCCUACGGGUUGUAAACCUCUUUUGCCGGGGAGCAACGGGCGUCACGUGUGGCGCCACUGAGAUUACCCGUAGAAAAAGCAUCGGCUAACUCCGUGCCAGCAGCCGCGGUAAUACGGAGGAUGCGAGCGUUAUCCGGAUUUAUUGGUUUUAAAGGGUGGGUAGGCGGAUUGUUAAGUUAGCGGUGAAAUGUUCGGGCUUAACUCGGUAACUGCCUUUGAUACUGGUGAUCUAGAGUGUAGAUGAGGUAGGCGGAAUGUGUGGUGUAGCGGUGAAAUGCUUAGAGAUCAUGAAGAACACCGAUUGCGAAGGCAGCUUACCAAUCUAUAUCUGACGUUGAGGCACGAAAGCGUGGGGAGCAAACAGGAUUAGAUACCCCGGUAGUC